GAAAUGCGAUAAGUAAUGUGAAUUGCAGAAUUCCGUGAAUCAUCGAAUCUUUGAACGCACAUUGCGCCCUCUGGCAUUCCGGGGGGCAUGCCUGUCCGAGCGUCAUUACGCACCCUCAAGCCCGGCUUGUGUGAUGGGCCCUGGCGUCUCGUUCGCGAGACGGGCCCGAAAGGCAGCGGCGGCGUCGACCUGAUGAGCCCGAGCGUAUGGGGACUCUUGUCACACGUUUGCGGUGCGGACCGGCGCCUGCUUGACUUUUCUGAUUAUCCAGGUUGACCUCGGAUCAGGUAGGGAUACCCGCUGAACUUAAGC
rnacentral:misc_RNA from 1 species